rnacentral:tRNA from 1 species
GCAAGUAUGGUGAAGUGGUUAACACACUGGGUUGUGGUCCCAGCAUUCGAGAGUUCGAUCCUCUCUACUUGCCCCA